GGGUCGCAAAGAGUUGGACACGACUGAGCGACUGAACUGAACUGAAGCCUUAUGAAAACAAGAUGCCAAGGAGAUAAACUUAUGUACAGCAGUCUGAUGGCAGCUAUGAACUCAGUUUAACAUCACUGACUGAGGAGACAUCUGACAGCUCCCUGGAUAUCUCCAGACCCCAUCCGAUUGGGUCUCCACUCCGUGCUGCCUGCCCCAUAGCUGUCAGGUUACCCAGCAUAGGAAAGUGUUAGAACAUUACCAGCUGCCUUGGAGAUCAAGCCCAACAAGCUCCACUCUGGUUCCCUUGACAAUCUGUAUUAGGAUUCAUGCAUCUAAAACCCAAGAGGUGGAAAGCGAAAGGAAGCCUAUUGAGAAGAAUUCCUGAUGUUGCCCUCAAAGCAUAUUCAAGUGAUGAG
ensembl:lncRNA